CUAGUAAUCGCGGAUCAGCAUGCCGCGGUGAAUACGUUCCCGGGCCUGUANACACCGCCCGUCACACCAUGGGAGCCGGUAAUACCCGAAGUCAGUAGUCCAACCUCGUGAGGACGCUGCCGAAGGUAGGAUUGGCGACUGGGGUGAAGUCGUAACAAGGUAAC
rnacentral:rRNA from 1 species